UACGGGGGGAGCAAGCGUUGUUCGGAUUUACUGGGCGUAAAGCGUGCGCAGGCGGUUUUGUAAGCCAGAUGUGAAAUCCCCGGGCUUAACCUGGGAAUGGCAUUUGGGACUGCAAGGCUCGAGUGCGGCAGAGGAGACUGGAAUUCCUGGUGUAGCAGUGAAAUGCGUAGAUAUCAGGAGGAACGCCGAUGGCGAAGGCAGGUCUCUGGGCUGACACUGACGCUCAUGCACGAAAGCGUGGGGAGCAAACAGG
rnacentral:rRNA from 1 species